rnacentral:rRNA from 1 species
AGCGAACGCUGGCGGUAGGCCUAACACAUGCAAGUCGAACGGCAGCACAGUAAGAGCUUGCUCUUACGGGUGGCGAGUGGCGGACGGGUGAGGAAUACAUCGGAAUCUACUUUUUCGUGGGGGAUAACGUAGGGAAACUUACGCUAAUACCGCAUACGACCUACGGGUGAAAGCAGGGGAUCUUCGGACCUUGCGCGAUUGAAUGAGCCGAUGUCGGAUUAGCUAGUUGGCGGGGUAAAGGCCCACCAAGGCGACGAUCCGUAGCUGGUCUGAGAGGAUGAUCAGCCACACUGGAACUGAGACACGGUCCAGACUCCUACGGGAGGCAGCAGUGGGGAAUAUUGGACAAUGGGCGCAAGCCUGAUCCAGCCAUACCGCGUGGGUGAAGAAGGCCUUCGGGUUGUAAAGCCCUUUUGUUGGGAAAGAAAAGCAGCAGGUUAAUACCCCGCUGUUCUGACGGUACCCAAAGAAUAAGCACCGGCCAACUUCGUG